CCUGCAACUUUUUGAGAGAAAAAGAAAAACCGUGUAGUAACUAAAUUCGAAGUAUAAUAUGAUCCGCGCACUUAACACUGAGAUAGUCACCUCACCUUUGAAACCGUGCAACAGUAUUAUCUGUACUGUACAAUGUUGGACCAAGUGAUCGAAAGUUCUACGAAGCAGAGAAAGGAUCGUAUGGAAAGGGGAUCAAAAAUUUGUUAUGCAAAUGAAGAAAGACUAUAGAUGACAUUUGUGAUUCGAUUGCCAACAUCAUUCUCUUGCCACGUAUGCUCAAGACUUGUCAAUAUAAUAGUGUGGAGAUAACAAUCGAAUCGACCAUUUAAAAUUCCCUAUUAUCGUUUUAAUGAUCGCACACCUGAAUUACCGACUCGCAAUUUCAUCGAAAAUGACCCGAAGCAUGACGAUAUAACGGGGUUAAUUACAAGAGAUCAAAAUGGUGUUUAUUGACUUUCGUGGAGUUUCUUGAUUAAAAGCAUAAAAAUGUCCACUUUAUUACUACUCUUUUGCUUUAUUACAAUGACUUAUCAAUAACCGCAUGGUUUGUCCACAUGUCGAUUGUAUCAAGAUUAUUGUGCACUAUUAUUGUGCGAUAAAUAUGAUUGUUAAGAAAAAUAUGUAACUAACUUAGAUCCACAAUGUUAUUACAAAUAUUUCGCGAAUUAUUAAAUUGAGCAUAUAAUCGAUCACAUUAUCAAGAAUUCGCUGCUUUUUAAAAUUUUAACAAAAAAAUAAUCAUUUUAAAAAUCCUGAUGACCUUGAUAUCUUAUCAACAAGCAAGUUACUAGGUAAGGAAAUACAUUUCGGCAUCAUUUAUCACUUCUGACACGAUGUUAUCUUUUUGAAAAAUGUUUUUCUUUAUCUUUUUUAAAAAUGUGUUUGUGGAAUAAGCUAUU